rnacentral:rRNA from 1 species
UGAGGAAUAUUGCUCAAUGGGCGAAAGCCUGAAGCAGCAACGCCGCGUGCGCGAUGAAGGUCUUCGGAUCGUAAAGCGCUUUUGAGAGGGACGAGAUAGGACGGUACCUCUUGAAUAAGUCACGGCUAACUACGUGCCAGCAGCCGCGGUAAAACGUAGGUGGCAAGCGUUAUCCGGAUUCACUGGGCGUAAAGCGCGUGCAGGUGGCUUCGUAAGUUGGACGUUAAAUCUUUCGGCCGAACCGGGAGGUGUCGUUCAAUACUGCGGGGCUUGAGGGUAGAAGAGGGGGGUGGAAUUGCCGGUGUAGUGGUGAAAUGCGUAGAUAUCGGCAGGAACACCUGUGGCGAAAGCGGCCCCCUGGUCUGCUCCUGACACUCAGACGCGAAAGCUAGGGGAGUGAACG